CAUAGAGGGUUCCCUGCGGACCGCGCAACACGUCGAUGCGCUCAAUGUCGGCAUAGUUGAAGUCGAAAGCUGAUUUGUCGAUGUAAGGGACAUUGUCUACGUACAAACCCACUGACGGUGUAUUGAUGCGUGAACCGAUCCCACGGAUGUAGAUGGCGGAAGUCAGUUUCGAGCCAUAGUCGGGGAUGAAGAUAUUCGGAGCGGAAUCACAACCAUCAAGACACUCAAGAACCGGGAAUAUGCGGCCCGGGGACUACCUUUCAUCUACUCCGAAACGGAUACCGACUUUGUGACACCUGCCCGGUGCUGGAAGGUUAAGAGGAGAUGUCAUCGCAAGAGAAGCAUUGAAUUGAAGCCCCAGUAAACGGCGGCCGUAACUAUAACGGUCCUAAGGUAGCGAAAUUCCUUGUCGGGUAAGUUCCGACCUGCACGAAUGGUGUAAUGAUCUGGACACUGUCUCAACCGUGAGCUCAGUGAAAUUGUAGUAUCGGUGAAGAUGCCGAUUACCCGCGAUGGGACGAAAAGACCCCGUGAACCUUUACUAUAGCUUAACAUUGAAUUUGGGUAAUUGAUGUGUAGGAUAGGCCGGAGACUUUGAAGCAGGCACGCCAGUGUUUGUGGAGUCGCUGUUGAAAUACGGCCCUUUGGUUAUUUGAGUUCUAACUCCAAAAAUGGAGGACACUGUUUGGUGGGUAGUUUGACUGGGGUGGUCGCCUCCAAAAGCGUAACGGAGGCUUCUAAAGGUGCCCUCACGCCGAUUGGUAACCGGCGGUAGAGUGUAAUGGCAUAAGGGCGCUUGACUGGGAGACUUACAAGUCGAUCAGGUAGGAAACUAGAGCAUAGUGAUCCGGUGUUUCCGUAUGGAAGGGACAUCGCUCAAAGGAUAAAAGGUACUCCGGGGAUAACAGGCUGAUCCCUCCCAAGAGCUCAUAUCGACGGAGGGGUUUGGCACCUCGAUGUCGGCUCGUCACAUCCUGGGGCUGGAGAAGGUCCCAAGGGUUGGCGCGUUUUUGGCAUCGGCUAAGUCCGAUUGCGCUUUUGACAGUUCACUUCUGUAACGAUUCAGCUCUUCGUUGAUAGCGUUUUGGUCUACCUGUGCACCGCAAGACACGAAUCUCUUGCCACCGAAUGUGUAAGUCACACCUGCUGUCAGAGAAACAGCACCGUCAGUACGGGCAGAACUAUAAUGUCCGAAGAGAGAAGGAGAGACUUCACCUCUUGCUUCUACAUUGAUAUCCAAAUAUUUGUUGAUGUUGAAUUGUCCCAUCAAACCGACAGAACCAUUAAUCAGCGCAUUCAGUUUAUCUUGAUUGCCAUAGGCC
rnacentral:rRNA from 1 species